rnacentral:rRNA from 1 species
CCUACGGAGCGCAGCAGUGGGGAAUAUUGGACAAUGGGCGAAAGCCUGAUCCAGCCAUGCCGCGUGUGUGAAGAAGGCCUUCGGGUUGUAAAGCACUUUCAGUGGGGAAGAAAGCCUUGGGGCUAAUACCCUCGAGGAAGGACAUCACCCACAGAAGAAGCACCGGCUAACUCCGUGCCAGCAGCCGCGGUAAUACGGAGGGUGCGAGCGUUAAUCGGAAUUACUGGGCGUAAAGCGCGCGUAGGCGGUCUGAUAAGCCGGUUGUGAAAGCCCCGGGCUCAACCUGGGAACGGCAUCCGGAACUGUCAGGCUAGAGUGCAGGAGAGGAAGGUAGAAUUCCCGGUGUAGCGGUGAAAUGCGUAGAGAUCGGGAGGAAUACCAGUGGCGAAGGCGGCCUUCUGGACUGACACUGACGCUGAGGUGCGAAAGCGUGGGUAGCAAACAGGAUUAGAUACCCCAGUAGUC